rfam:Microbial mat metagenome hsmat03_BHWI6884_y1, whole genome shotgun sequence.
UUGCUGGUAACGGCAGGGUCUGAAGGAAGCAAUAUGAAGUGAGCGGUACAUAGCACAAGCGAACCUGAUUCGGCAUCAUAAGGGGGUAAGCGUGCAAAAUAGCGCAAAGCCCUAUACCUGGUCAGCCUUAUGGUGUGAUUGAGGAUGGCAUUGCUCACAGGGUUCUCGC